rnacentral:snoRNA from 1 species
AGUCCAUGUUGAGGACACUUGAGUAAUAACUCCUUGAAUCGCUACCAUGUCUCGUAGAAUGACUCUCCCUCCCUUUGGAGAAACUCUUGGAUCAUGCUACUCAGACG